rnacentral:rRNA from 1 species
GUGAACGCUGGCGGUAGGCCUAACACAUGCCAGUCGCACGGCAGCACAGUAAGAGCUUGCUCUUACGGGUGGCGAGUGGCGGACGGGUGAGGAAUACAUCGGAAUCUACUUUUUCGUGGGGGAUAACGUAGGGAAACUUACGCUAAUACCGCAUACGACCUACGGGUGAAAGCAGGGGAUCUUCGGACCUUGCGCGAUUGAAUGAGCCGAUGUCGGAUUAGCUAGUUGGCGGGGUAAAGGCCCACCAAGGCGACGAUCCGUAGCUGGUCUGAGAGGAUGAUCAGCCACACUGGAACUGAGACACGGUCCAGACUCCUACGGGAGGCAGCAGUGGGGAAUAUUGGACAAUGGGCGCAAGCCUGAUCCAGCCAUACCGCGUGGGUGAAGAAGGCCUUCGGGUUGUAAAGCCCUUUUGUUGGGAAAGAAAAGCAGCAGGUUAAUACCCCGCUGUUCUGACGGUACCCAAAGAGUAAGCACCGGCUAACUUCGUG